AGUGAACGCUGGCGGUAGGCCUAACACAUGCAAGUCGAACGGCAGCACAGUAAGAGCUUGCUCUUACGGGUGGCGAGUGGCGGACGGGUGAGGAAUACAUCGGAAUCUACUUUUUCGUGGGGGAUAACGUAGGGAAACUUACGCUAAUACCGCAUACGACCUACGGGUGAAAGCAGGGGAUCUUCGGACCUUGCGCGAUUGAAUGAGCCGAUGUCGGAUUAGCUAGUUGGCGGGGUAAAGGCCCACCAAGGCGACGAUCCGUAGCUGGUCUGAGAGGAUGGUCAGCCACACUGGAAGUGAGACACGGUCCAGACUCCUACGGGAGGCAGCAGUGGGGAAUAUUGGACGAUGGGCGAAAGCCUGAUCCAGCCAUACCGCGUGGGUGAAGAAGGCCUUCGGGUUGUAAAGCCCUUUUGUUGGGAAAGAAAAACAGCAGGUUAAUACCCCGCUGUUCUGACGGUACCCAAAGAAUAAGCACCGGCUAACUUCGUG
rnacentral:rRNA from 1 species